rnacentral:rRNA from 1 species
UACGAAGGGGCUAGCGUUGCUCGGAAUCACUGGGCGUAAAGCGCACGUAGGCGGCUUUCUAAGUCAGGGGUGAAAUCCUGGAGCUCAACUCCAGAACUGCCUUUGAUACUGAGGAUCUUGAGUUCGGGAGAGGUGAGUGGAGCUGCGAGUGUAGAGGUGAAAUUCGUAGAUAUUCGCAAGAACACCAGUGGCGAAGGCGGCUCACUGGCCCGAUACUGACGCUGAGGCACGAAAGCGUGGGGAGCAAACAGG